rnacentral:rRNA from 1 species
GAUGAACGCUGGCGGCGUGCCUAAUACAUGCAAGUCGAGCGAACGGACGAGAAGCUUGCUUCUCUGAUGUUAGCGGCGGACGGGUGAGUAACACGUGGAUAACCUACCUAUAAGACUGGGAUAACUUCGGGAAACCGUAGCUAAUACCGGAUAAUAUUUUGAACCGCAUGGUUCAAUAGUGAAAGACGGUCUUGCUGUCACUUAUAGAUGGAUCCGCGCUGCAUUAGCUAGUUGGUAAGGUAACGGCUUACCAAGGCAACGAUGCAUAGCCGACCUGAGAGGGUGAUCGGCCACACUGGAACUGAGACACGGUCCAGACUCCUACGGGAGGCAGCAGUAGGGAAUCUUCCGCAAUGGGCGAAAGCCUGACGGAGCAACGCCGCGUGAGUGAUGAAGGUCUUCGGAUCGUAAAACUCUGUUAUUAGGGAAGAACAAAUGUGUAAGUAACUGUGCACAUCUUGACGGUACCUAAUCAGAAAGGCACGGCUAACUACGUG